GGCUUAAUACAUGCAAGUCGUGGGGCAGCAUGAGUAGCAAUACUUGAUGGCGACCGGCAAACGGGUGAGGAACACGUACACAACCUUCCUUCAGCGGGGAAUAGCCCAGAGAAAUUUGGAUUAAUACCCCAUAAUAUAUUUGAUAAGGCAUCUUUAUUUAAAUUAUUAAAGCUUCGGCACUUGAUGAUGGGUGUGCGGCUGAUUAGAUAGUUGGCGGGGUACCGGCCCACCAAGUCUACGAUCAGUAGCUGAUGUGAGAGCAUGAUCAGCCACACGGGCACUGAGACACGGGCCCGACUCCUACGGGAGGCAGCAGUAAGGAAUAUUGGACAAUGGACGAAAGUCUGAUCCAGCCAUGCCGCGUGAAGGAUUAAGGUCCUCUGGAUUGUAAACUUCUUUUAUAUGGGACGAAAAAAGGGCAUUCUUGUUCACUUGACGGUACCAUAUGAAUAAGCACCGGCUAACUCCGUG
rnacentral:rRNA from 1 species